GGAGGAAAGCAGGGGAUCGUAAGACCUUGCGCUUUUGGAGCGGCCGAUGCCUGAUUAGCUAGUUGGUGGGGUAAUGGCCUACCAAAGCUUCGAUCAGUAGCUGGUCUGAGAGGACGGCCAACCACACUGGGACUGAGACACGGCCCAGACUCCUACGGGAGGCAGCAGUGGGGAAUUUUGGACAAUGGGCGCAAGCCUGAUCCAGCAAUGCCGCGUGAGUGAAGAAGGCCUUCGGGUUGUAAAGCUCUUUCAGUCGAGAAGAAAAAGCUGCAGUGAAUAACUGUAGUUCAUGACGGUAUCGACAGAAGAAGCACCGGCUAACUACGUGCCAGCAGCCGCGGUAAUACGUAGGGUGCGAGCGUUAAUCGGAAUUACUGGGCGUAAAGCGUGCGCAGGCGGUUUUGUAAGACAGGCGUGAAAUCCCCGGGCUUAACCUGGGAACUGCGUUUGAAACUACAAAGCUAG
rnacentral:rRNA from 1 species